rnacentral:lncRNA from 1 species
AAGCGCGAGGAGCGGGGCGGGGCGAGCGCGCGUGCUCCCGGAUCCUCGGCAGUGUCCGGCGCCCCCUUCCCUUCGCCAGGCCCGUUUGGCGCCUUCACUCGGGAAGACGUCGGCCAGGACUUUGCGCUUUGGAGACGUCUUACUUCGGCAGCACUCGCACACUGCGAGAUCCGACACGGGCAGCGGGGACCUAGGGAGCCGGGGACGCUGCCUGUCGGGUACGGUUCCGCAGCUACCGCAGCCCCGUGGGCCAUGGUUAGUCUCCCCCCGACACCGCUCCCUCUAGAGCUCCGGGCUUCGGAAGCGGCUGCACGUGGGCAUGGCUGGAGAGGUUCCGCUGGCUUGGGGCAGUCGCCGGGAUUCCGACUGGUUGGUGUGGGGUGUGGCCUGUGCUAUCCAGCUCCCAGCUGAUCCUAAUGUGCGGCACAGCGGAAACCACCGGUCCACAUCAGUGCUUCUCACUUAAAGGGGCUUACGAAUCGUCGGGGGUGGGGGAGCUGGACUUGGAAUUUUUUAAGAGAUGAGGUCUCACUCUGUCACCCAGGCUGGAGUGCAGUGGCGCGAUUACGGCUCACUGCAGACUAGACCUCCUGGGCUCAACUUUAAUGUAAAUUGGGAUUGGGUAGGUCUGUAAGGGGACCCGAGCUCCCCUCCCAUGUUGUUGCCAAGCUCCUGAGCUCGGCCUGGUGGCGGGUGGGGGCCGGGAGGAGAAGGACACGUUAGUAAGGAAGCUGCAGGACGACUCCAGGGGCCUCCCACCUGGUCUCCACCCCCCUCCCCCACCCAUUCUUGACGCUGCAUCCAUGAUUGUUCUAAACAACCUAAAGCAGAAAUCUUAGAGCAAAUAACGAAAACUGGCAGAAGGCCAUUUGAUAUCUCCUUAAAAAAUUCAUGUAAAAAAUUACAUAAACGUUUCAAAGCAGUAUGUAUAAAUUUGAAAUACUGGAAAUGAACGCAGACCAUUAAAGGAAUAGUUAAUUAUUUGAUUCCAUUAUGAAA